CCUACGGGAGGCUGCAGUCGAGAAUCAUUCACAAUGGGGGAAACCCUGAUGGUGCGACGCCGCGUGGGGGAAUGAAGGUCUUCGGAUUGUAAACCCCUGUCAUGUGGGAGCAAAUUAAAAAGAUAGUACCACAAGAGGACGAGACGGCUAACUCUGUGCCAGCAGCCGCGGUAAUACAGAGGUCUCAAGCAGUGUUCGGAAUCACUGGGCGUAAAGCGCUCGUAGGCGGUAUGUCCAGUCAAGGGUGAAAUCACCGCGAUCAACGUGGGAACUGCCUUUGAAACUGGCAAACUGGAGGGUGUGAGAGGAUAGUGGAAUUCCAGGUGUAGGAGUGAAAUCCGUAGAUAUCUGGAGGAACAUCAGUGGCGAAGGCGACUAUCUGGCACAUAACUGACGCUGAGGAGCGAAAGCGUGGGUAGCAAACAGGAUUAGAUACCCCAGUAGUC
rnacentral:rRNA from 1 species